CCUACGGGAGGCAGCAGUAGGGAAUAUUGCUCAAUGGGGGAAACCCUGAAGCAGCAACGCCGCGUGGAGGAAGAAGUUUCUCGGAUUGUAAAACCCUUUUGUUAGGGAAGAAAAUGACGGUACCUGACUAAUAAGCACCGGCUAACUACGUGCCAGCAGCCGCGGUAAUACGUAGGGUGCAAGCGUUAUUCGGAUUCACUGGGUGUAAAGAGCGCGUAGGCGGGAGCACAAGUCAGAAGUGAAAUCCCAUGGCUUAACCACGGAACUGCUUUUGAAACUGUUCUGCUGGAGUAGAGGAGGGGUAUGUGGAAGUCUUGGUGUAGCGGUGAAAUGCGUAGAGAUCAAGAGGAAUACUGAUUGCGAAGGCGGCUUACUGGAACAUAACUGACGCUGAUGCUCGAAAGCGUGGGGAGCAAACAGGAUUAGAUACCCGGGUAGUC
rnacentral:rRNA from 1 species